GGGCUCUUAGCUCAGUUGGUUAGAGCGCAUCCCUGAUAAGGAUGAGGCCUCUGGUUCGAAUCCAGAAGAGCCCA
rnacentral:tRNA from 1 species